rnacentral:rRNA from 1 species
AUGUCCAGACUAGCCAUGCACGUCUAAGUACAAACUAAAUGAUGGUGAAACUGCAAAUGGCUCAUUACCACGGUUAUGAUGUACCCGGGAGUUCCGAUGGAUAUUUCCAGUAACACUAGAACUAAUACAUGUCCCUGCGUUUAUUAGUUUCGCACAGUCCGUCGCUGAGUCAUGGUAAACAGUUGAUCGACUCGACGUCCCGGAACAGUUUCCGCCCCAUCAGCUUCGAUGGUUGGGUAUUGGCCUACCAUUGCAACAACGGGUAACGAGGAAUUAGGGUUUGAUUUCGGAGAGGGAGCCUGAGAAACGGCUACCACAUCUACGGAUGGCAGCAGGCGCGCAAAUUACCCAAUGCAGACACUGUGAGGUAGUGACGAGAAAUAAUAAAGCGGGACUCCUGUUUCGCUAUUAUAAUGAGGAAUAACCAAAGGUCAUUCCGAUUAGCAACUGAUGGGAAAGUCUGGUGCCAGCAGCCGCGGUAAUACCAGCGUCAGUAGCAU